rnacentral:rRNA from 1 species
GAUGAACGCUAGCGGCAGGCCUAACACAUGCAAGUCGAGGGGCAGCACGUCUUCGGAUGGUGGCGACCGGCGCACGGGUGCGUAACGCGUAUGCAACCUACCUCUUACAGUGGGAUAGCCCAGAGGAAUUUGGAUUAAUACCGCAUAGUAUACAGAUUCAGCAUUGGGACUGUAUUAAACAUUUAUGGGUAAGAGAUGGGCAUGCGUUCUAUUAGUUAGUUGGAGUGGUAACGGCACCCCAAGACAGCGAUAGAUAGGGGCCCUGACGAGGGGGAUCCCCCANACUGGUACUGAGACACGGACCAGACUCCUACGGGAGGCAGCAGUGAGG